GGCCAGCAGCCGCGGUAAUACGUAGGUGGCAAGCGUUAUCCGGAAUUAUUGGGCGUAAAGCGCGCGCAGGUGGUUUCUUAAGUCUGAUGUGAAAGCCCACGGCUCAACCGUGGAGGGUCAUUGGAAACUGGGAGACUUGAGUGCAGAAGAGGAAAGUGGAAUUCCAUGUGUAGCGGUGAAAUGCGUAGAGAUAUGGAGGAACACCAGUGGCGAAGGCGACUUUCUGGUCUGUAACUGACACUGAGGCGCGAAAGCGUGGGGAGCAAACAGGAUUAGAUACCCUGGUAGUCCACGCCGUAAACGAUGAGUGCUAAGUGUUAGAGGGUUUCCGCCCUUUAGUGCUGAAGUUAACGCAUUAAGCACUCCGCCUGGGGAGUACGGCCGCAAGGCUGAAACUCAAAGGAAUUGGCGGGGGAU
rnacentral:rRNA from 1 species